UACGAAGGGGGCUAGCGUUGUUCGGAAUUACUGGGCGUAAAGCGCACGUAGGCGGUUUGUUAAGUCAGGGGUGAAAUCCCAGAGCUCAACUCUGGAACUGCCUUUGAUACUGGCAAGCUAGAGUCCGGAAGAGGUAAGUGGAACUCCUAGUGUAGAGGUGGAAUUCGUAGAUAUUAGGAAGAACACCAGUGGCGAAGGCGGCUUACUGGUCCGGAACUGACGCUGAGGUGCGAAAGCGUGGGGAGCAAACAGG
rnacentral:rRNA from 1 species